GACGAACCACACGAACGUUAUUCGGAAUUACUGGGCUUAAAGGGUGCGUAGGCGGCGCGGUAAGUAGGGUGUGAAAUCCCUCGGCUCAACCGAGGAACUGCGCUCUAGACUACCGUGCUUGAGGGAGGUAGAGGUGAGCGGAACUUAGGGUGGAGCGGUGAAAUGCGUUGAUAUCCUAAGGAACACCGGUGGCGAAAGCGGCUCACUGGAUCUCUUCUGACGCUGAGGCACGAAAGCUAGGGUAGCGAACGGG
rnacentral:rRNA from 1 species